AUGAGUAUUAAUGCAGUCCCUCCCUAGAAGGCAGUCUUCUAGGCUGCGCUGAUAUCCUAGGAGCUCAUCUGAUGACCUUUUUUCUCAUUUAAGAUGAGACAGGUGGGAGCAGAAGGCUGUAGGGACCAUAUGGCCAGGAAGGUGGUGCAAGGGUAACAAAACCUCAAAUUGGAUCUUGUCUCAGGCAUGAGGAGAUUGGAAACAUGCAUGGAAAACUAGAAAAAGAUGAGAACCGUAAAUAGGCCUAAUGAGACAGAAUAAAGCAGAACUGAAAUAAAGCA
rnacentral:lncRNA from 1 species